GGACUACUGGGGUAUCUAAUCCUGUUUGAUCCCCAUGCUUUCGCAUCUCAGUGUCAGUACUGGACCAGUGAGCCGCCUUCGCCACUGAUGUUCCACCUGAUAUCUACGUAUUUCACCACUACACCAGGUAUUCCACUCACCUCUUCCGUACUCAAGCUAAGCAGUUUCGAGUGCACGUCCCGGGUUAAGCCCGGGGAUUUCACACCCGACUUGCAAAGCCACCUACAUGCGCUUUACGCCCAAUGAUUCCGAACAACGCUAGGGACCUUCGUAUUACCGCGGCUGCUGGCAC
rnacentral:rRNA from 1 species